rnacentral:misc_RNA from 1 species
CAUGCACUUGGUUGAAAAUAUUCCCUUCCAAAACCAAUUUAGAACGAAAAAUGUAUAGCAAAAGCCUCUAACUUAUAUCAGACGACAUGGAUCACUCAAAAUUAUAAGCUCAAUCUUGCCAGGAAAGAAAAAAAAAUACACACGAAAAUGAAACCGAUUUCGCUACUUUUACACUGAAAUAUUGAAGCCAAAACUGUAGAAACAGCGAUCAAG